rnacentral:rRNA from 1 species
UACGGAGGAUGCGAGCGUUAUCCGGAUUUAUUGGGUUUAAAGGGUGCGUAGGCGGACUGUCAAGUCAGCGGUAAAAUACGGGGGCUCAACCUCCGCCCGCCGUUGAGACUGACGGUCUUGAGUGGGCGAGAAGUAUGUGGAAUGCGUGGUGUAGCGGUGAAAUGCAUAGAUAUCACGCAGAACUCCGAUUGCGAAGGCAGCAUACCGGCGCCCAACUGACGCUGAAGCACGAAAGCGUGGGUAUCGAACAGG